rnacentral:rRNA from 1 species
GACGAACGCUGGCGGCGUGCUUAACACAUGCAAGUCGAACGGAAAGGCCCUGCUUUUGUGGGGUGCUCGAGUGGCGAACGGGUGAGUAACACGUGAGUAACCUGCCCUUGACUUUGGGAUAACUUCAGGAAACUGGGGCUAAUACCGGAUAGGAGCUCCUGCUGCAUGGUGGGGGUUGGAAAGUUUCGGCGGUUGGGGAUGGACUCGCGGCUUAUCAGCUUGUUGGUUGGGUAGUGGCUUACCAAGGCUUUGACGGGUAGCCGGCCUGAGAGGGUGACCGGCCACCAUGGGACUGCGAUACGGCCCAGUCUCCUACGGGAGGCAGCAGUGGCGAAUAUUGCACAGUGGGCGGAAGCCUGAUGCAGCAACGCCGCGUGCGGGAUGACGGCCUUCGGGUUGUAAACCGCUUUCGCCUGUGACGCAGCGUGAGUGACGGUAACGGGUAAAGAAGCACCGGCUAACUACGUG